UCUCAAAUGGAGCCUCAAUGUCCAAGCCGUCUCAAAUAAGGCCAACAAAAUGUUGGGGUUCGUGAAAAGAUCGUGUUUUCAUGCAAGUGACCCUAAAGUACGAAAGACCCUGUAUUUAGCCCUAGUAAGAAGCCAGCUUGGUUACUGUAGCCAAGUGUGGGCACCCCAAACCACCCAUGACAUUCAAACCCUGGAACGAGUUCAGCGUCGCAGCACGAAGUUUAUUUUAUCUCUUCUAUUUCGAACAGAUAUUUCAUAUCCUAAAAGACUUGCUAAACUCAACAUUCUUCCAAUUACCUACUGGCAUGAAUACCUGGAUCUUGUUUAUCUAUUCAAAUGUAUUUAUGAAAAUUCCGA
rnacentral:lncRNA from 1 species